UAGCUACAGGCUUAACACAUGCAAGUCGAGGGGCAGCAUGGUCUUAGCUUGCUAAGGCCGAUGGCGACCGGCGCACGGGUGAGUAACACGUAUCCAACCUGCCGUCUACUCUUGGACAGCCUUCUGAAAGGAAGAUUAAUACAAGAUGGCAUCAUGAGUCCGCAUGUUCACAUGAUUAAAGGUAUUCCGGUAGACGAUGGGGAUGCGUUCCAUUAAAUAGUAGGCGGGGUAACGGCCCACCUAGUCUUCGAUGGAUAGGGGUUCUGAGAGGAAGGUCCCCCACAUUGGAACUGAGACACGGUCCAAACUCCUACGGGAGGCAGCAGUGAGGAAUAUUGGUCAAUGGGCGAGAGCCUGAACCAGCCAAGUAGCGUGAAGGAUGACUGCCCUAUGGGUUGUAAACUUCUUUUAUAAAGGAAUAAAGUCGGGUAUGGAUACCCGUUUGCAUGUACUUUAUGAAUAAGGAUCGGCUAACUCCGUGCCAGCAGCCGCGGUAAUACGGAGGAUCCGAGCGUUAUCCGGAUUUAUUGGGUUUAAAGGGAGCGUAGAUGGAUGUUUAAGUCAGUUGUGAAAGUUUGCGGCUCAACCGUAAAAUUGCAGUUGAUACUGGAUAUCUUGAGUGCAGUUGAGGCAGGCGGAAUUCGUGGUGUAGCGGUGAAAUGCUUAGAUAUCACGAAGAACUCCGAUUGCGAAGGCAGCCUGCUAAGCUGCAACUGACAUUGAGGCUCGAAAGUGUGGGUAUCAAACAAGAUUAGAUACCCUGGUAGUCCACACGGUAAACGAUGAAUACUCGCUGUUUGCGAUAUACUGCAAGCGGCCAAGCGAAAGCGUUAAGUAUUCCACCUGGGGAGUACGCCGGCAACGGUGAAACUCAAAGGAAUUGACGGGGGCCCGCACAAGCGGAGGAACAUGUGGUUUAAUUCGAUGAUACGCGAGGAACCUUACCCGGGCUUAAAUUGCAGAUGAAUUACGGUGAAAGCCGUAAGCCGCAAGGCAUCUGUGAAGGUGCUGCAUGGUUGUCGUCAGCUCGUGCCGUGAGGUGUCGGCUUAAGUGCCAUAACGAGCGCAACCCUUGUUGUCAGUUACUAACAGGUUCCGCUGAGGACUCUGACAAGACUGCCAUCGUAAGAUGUGAGGAAGGUGGGGAUGACGUCAAAUCAGCACGGCCCUUACGUCCGGGGCUACACACGUGUUACAAUGGGGGGUACAGAGGGCCGCUACCACGCGAGUGGAUGCCAAUCCCCAAAACCUCUCUCAGUUCGGACUGGAGUCUGCAACCCGACUCCACGAAGCUGGAUUCGCUAGUAAUCGCGCAUCAGCCACGGCGCGGUGAAUACGUUCCCGGGCCUUGUACACACCGCCCGUCAAGCCAUGGGAGCCGGGGGUACCUGAAGUGCGUAACCGCGAGGAGCGCCCUAGGGUAAAACUGGUGACUGGGGCU
rnacentral:rRNA from 1 species